rnacentral:rRNA from 1 species
UACGGAGGGAGCUAGCGUUGUUCGGAAAUACUGGGCGUAAAGCGCACGUAGGCGGCGCAGCAAGUCAGGUGUGAAAUCUCGGGGCUCAACCCCGAAACUGCACUUGAUACUGCCUCGCUUGAGUACUGGAGAGGAGACUGGAAUUUACGGUGUAGCAGUGAAAUGCGUAGAUAUCGUAAGGAAGACCAGUGGCGAAGGCGAGUCUCUGGACAGUUACUGACGCUGAGGCACGAAGGCCAGGGGAGCAAACGGG